rnacentral:rRNA from 1 species
UCGAGAAUCUUCGGCAAUGGGCGCAAGCCUGACCGAGCGACGCCGCGUGGAGGAUGAAGGCCUUCGGGUUGUAAACUCCUGUCGAGGGGGAACAAGGGGCCGUGCAGAACGGUCCUUGAGUGAUCCCUGGAGGAAGCACGGGCUAAGUUCGUGCCAGCAGCCGCGGUAAGACGAACCGUGCAAACGUUAUUCGGAAUCACUGGGCUUAAAGCGCGUGUAGGCGGUUCGGCACGUCCGUCGUUGAAAUCCCCCGGCUCAACCGGGGAACCGGCGCGGAUACGACCGAACUGGAGGGUGGUAGGGGGAGCCGGAACUUCCGGUGGAGCGGUGAAAUGCGUUGAGAUCGGAAGGAACGCCCGUGGCGAAAGCGGGCUCCUGGACCACACCUGACGCUGAGACGCGAAAGCCAGGGGAGCAAACGGGAUUAGAUACCCCCGUAGUCC